CUCUGCCAUACCCCACCUCCCAAACACAUCGUCUGUUGGCUUCACCCACACCUCCUCAUCCGUCCCCUUCUCCUGUCCUCUUCCUUCCUCCCUUCCUCCGUCCUUCCCCCCAUCUCUCCCUUCGUGUGCGUUACCACACAGGGAGUGAACCUCCAGGGCCGUCUGCCAAUAAAGCCUUCCUCCAGAAAGGCUUCAGGAAGUCAGGAAACGUAGUGCACAGAGCGACUAGAAGGUGGUGGUGGAUGAGGGGGUCCACACAGGACCUUCAACCAGAAGGCGUGGUGUGUGUGUGUCACACAUUAUUUUAAUUAAUUUUCAGUUUUCAUUCACAGUUUGGUUAGGCUGAGACUACACAACUACUCGGUACUUGGUUAGGUUUAGACCACACAACUUCUUGGUGAGGUUUGGUGUUAGCCAGAAAGUGCUGAAGUUUUAGCUUUAGGGUCAGGGUUAGUUUACUGUUAGUGUUAGGGUUAGUUUAGUGAUGGGAUUAGGGUUAGGAUUAGUUAAGUGCUGGGGUUAGGGUGUAGUUAAGUGUUAGUUUAGUGUUAGGGUUAGGCAGAAAGUAGAAGGGUUAGUAUUGAUGGAAGUGUUUGGGUUGGUUCUCCCUGUGCAGUGUUGCCUCUGUGUUGGCUGUGGGGCUGUUGAAACAGUCAUCAGUAGUAAACGUCAGGACUCAGAGUGCUGGAUCUCUUCCUAAGUGUAUAUUUAUCCUGCUCUGACAGCCUCCCGCUUACAGCAGACCUCAAGCAGGUCCCAUCAGUGGUGCUCACGUCGUCGCUGUGCCACGGCCCAGUAGAUAUCCCACGGGUAAUGGGAACCGCAGACAUGCAUAGUAGCAUGUAAUGGCAUCGAAGCCUGCACACCAGAGCUAUGUUUAGUCGCACAUGACUUGGCCUUACUUGCUUUAUCGCCCACAAC
ensembl:lncRNA